GACGAACGCUGGCGGCGUGCUUAACACAUGCAAGUCGAACGGGAGUAUUGAAGAAGCUUGCUUUAGAGAUACUUUAGUGGCGGACGGGUGAGUAACGCGUGAGGAGCUGUCCAAUGCAGGGGGACAACAGUUGGAAACGACUGCUAAUACCCCAUAAGCCGAGAGGUAAAAGGAUUUAUCCGGCAAUGGAGGUACUCGCGUCCUAUCAGCUAGUAGGUGAGGUAACGGCUCACCUAGGCGAAGACGGGUAGCCGGCCUGAGAGGGCGAACGGCCACACUGGAACUGAGAUACGGUCCAGACUCCUACGGGAGGCAGCAGUGGGGAAUAUUGGGCAAUGGGGGGAACCCUGACCCAGCGACGCCGCGUGGGUGAAGAAAUCCCUCGGGAUGUAAAGCCCUGUUGUAUGGGAAGAGCAGAAGACGGUACCAUACGAGGAAGCCCCGGCAAACUACGUG
rnacentral:rRNA from 1 species